GUAUUCCGCCUGGGGAGUACGGUCGCAAGAUUAAAACUCAAAGGAAUUGACGGGGACCCGCACAAGUAGCGGAGCAUGUGGUUUAAUUCGAAGCAACGCGAAGAACCUUACCUACACUUGACAUCCCUUGCAUUACUCUUAAUCGAGGAAAUCCCUUCGGGGACAAGGUGACAGGUGGUGCAUGGUUGUCGUCAGCUCGUGUCGUGAGAUGUUGGGUUAAGUCCCGCAACGAGCGCAACCCUUGUCGUUAGUUACUACCAUUAAGUUGAGGACUCUAGCGAGACUGCCUGGGUUAACCAGGAGGAAGGUGGGGAUGACGUCAAAUCAUCAUGCCCCUUAUGUGUAGGGCUACACACGUGCUACAAUGGCUGGUACAGAGAGAUGCAAUACCGCGAGGUGGAGCCAAACUUAAAAAACAGUCUCAGUUCGGAUUGUAGGCUGAAACUCGCCUACAUGAAGCUGGAGUUACUAGUAAUCGCGAAUCAGAAUGUCGCGGUGAAUACGUUCCCGGGUCUUGUACACACCGCCCGUCACACCAUGAGAGUUGGCAAUACCCGAA
rnacentral:rRNA from 1 species